rnacentral:rRNA from 1 species
AUUGAACGCUGGCGGCAGGCCUAACACAUGCAAGUCGAACGAGUGGCGGACGGGUGAGUAAUGUCUGGGAAACUGCCUGAUGGAGGGGGAUAACUAUUGGAAACGGGAGCUAAUCCCGCAUACCAUCAGAUGUGCCAAGAUGGGAUUGGCUUGUUGGUGGGGGAACGGCUCACCAAGGCGACGAUCCCUAGCUGGUCUGAGAGGAUGAGCAGCAACACGGGAACUGAGACACGGUCCAGACUCCUACGGGAGGCAGCAGUGGGGAAUAUUGCACAAUGGGCGCAAGCCUGAUGCAGCCAUGCCGCGUGUAUGCAACAGGCCUUCGGGUUGUAAAGUACUUUCGGCGGGAAGGCGUUACCCGCAGAAGGAGCACCGGCUAACUACGUGCAAGCAGCCGCGGUAAUAC